ensembl:lncRNA
CAGGCUGCUGGUCUGACCUCCUCCUGCUGCGGGCUCCAGUGACCUAGGCAGGGGAGCCAACGAGUCCCACCACAAGCCUUUUCAGGAACUGCCCGGGCCCUGGCCGGCCGAGCCCCCCAGAACCGCACAGGCCGCACUGAGGGAGGGCAAGGAUGGCACAUGCAUGGAACCCCCAGGGCCUGGUAUGUGAGCAGGUGAGCGGAUGCUGCCUGCUCACCAGAGGGCAAGGAUGGCACGCGCAUGGUACCCUUGGGGACUGGUGCGUGAGCAGGUUUUCUCGGCUGUGAUUUGGACAAUGUUUUUUCCCUUCCAAACAACCACUCUGGAAAAAGGGACUCUAACUUUGAACGAGCUGGCUUCGAUUGUUCCACUUCUUUCCACAAACAGCACCCCCUUCUCACUCCGCCCCCCAAUGCCCUCGCCCAGCAUUUCUAAUCCAGCGAUGCCUGGGGGUCACUCUGGGGUGGGGAUCGUGGGCAGGGAUUGCGGGCAGGGACCGCUGACCUCUGGGGCCUGGCGUCUCAGCUUCGGGGGCCACACUGUCCAGUCGCUUUAGAGUGGUCCCCAGUCAUGCGCAGGCUCCUGAGGGAGUUUCCUGAGCACCUACUAUGUGCCAGGCACUUGCUGGACACCUCUCAUCAUUCCCGCCAUGGAGGCCCCAGAGGAGGGCAACUGGCGAGGACAGGACUGGGCUUUGGAGCUCAUGGGGAGAAGGAGUCACGUGAUGCUGGGCACACAUGCUUCCUCCGGGCAGCCCCCCUCGGCUGCAUCUGGCAACUUGAGGCUUCCGUGGCUGCUCACUCCUUGUUCCGAAACCUCAUCCUCGUGGGACUUGCCCUGUGGCUUCUGCAUAGCUCCGGGUCGUUUUCCAGGGGCUCUCCAGAGCCCCGCCCUGGUCCCGGUCCUGCCCUCACCUGCAUCCUUUCUCCGGCCCGCUGUCCGUGGUCCCAGUGCCUGACAACCGCUGGUGGAUGCGUCCCGAAUAAGGGAACAGGCUGCAUAGAGUAGAAUGUCCCUGUG